UACGUAGGUGGCAAGCGUUAUCCGGAAUUAUUGGGCGUAAAGCGCGCGUAGGCGGUUUUUUAAGUCUGAUGUGAAAGCCCACGGCUCAACCGUGGAGGGUCAUUGGAAACUGGAAAACUUGAGUGCAGAAGAGGAAAGUGGAAUUCCAUGUGUAGCGGUGAAAUGCGCAGAGAUAUGGAGGAACACCAGUGGCGAAGGCGACUUUCUGGUCUGUAACUGACGCUGAUGUGCGAAAGCGUGGGGAU
rnacentral:rRNA from 1 species